rnacentral:rRNA from 1 species
UGAGCAACCUGCCCUUGACCCCGGAAUAACAGCUGGAAACAGCUGCUAAUACCGGAUACGACUCCUUGCGACAUCGCUUGGAGUGGAAAGCUCCGACGGUCAAGGAUGGGCUCGCGGCCUAUCAGCUUGUUGGUGAGGUAAUGGCUCACCAAGGCGACGACGGGUAGCCGGCCUGAGAGGGUGACCGGCCACACUGGGACUGAGACACGGCCCAGACUCCUACGGGAGCAG